rnacentral:rRNA from 1 species
GAUGAACGCUGGCGGCGUGCCUAAUACAUGCAAGUCGAGCGAACAGAUGAGGAGCUUGCUCCUCUGACGUUAGCGGCGGACGGGUGAGUAACACGUGGAUAACCUACCUAUAAGACUGGGAUAACUUCGGGAAACCGGAGCUAAUACCGGAUAAUAUAUUGAACCGCAUGGUUCAAUAGUGAAAGACGGUUUUGCUGUCACUUAUAGAUGGAUCCGCGCCGCAUUAGCUAGUUGGUAAGGUAACGGCUUACCAAGGCAACGAUGCGUAGCCGACCUGAGAGGGUGAUCGGCCACACUGGAACUGAGACACGGUCCAGACUCCUACGGGAGGCAGCAGUAGGGAAUCUUCCGCGAUGGGCGAAAGCCUGACGGAGCAACGCCGCGUGAGUGAUGAAGGUCUUCGGAUCGUAGAACUCUGUUAUUAGGGAAGAACAAAUGCGUAAGUAACUAUGCACGUCUUGACGGUACCUAAUCAGAAAGCCACGGCUAACUACGUG